GACGAACGCUGGCGGCGUGCUUAACACAUGCAAGUCGAACGGGCCCGCACCUUUUUUUUGGGGGCGGGUUGAGUGGCGAACGGGUGAGUAUCACGUGAGUAACCUGCCCUCCUCUCCUGGAUAACCGCUUGAAAGGGCGGCUAAUACGGGGUGGUCCGGUUGGUCCGCAUGGGCCGGCUGGGAUAGUUUCAUCUUCGGGUGUUUCGGUGGGGGAUGGGCUCGCGGCCUAUCAGCUUGUUGGUGGGGUGAUGGCCUACCAGGGCGGUGACGGGUAGCCGGCCUGAGAGGGUGGGCGGCCACACUGGGACUGAGACACGGCCCAGACUCCUCGGGAGGCAGCAGUGGGGGGUAUUGCACAAUGGGCGGAAGCCUGAUGCAGCGACGUCGCGUGAGGGAUGGAGGCCUUCGGGUUGUGAACCUCUGUUUCCGGUGGUGAAGGCCCUGCCCU
rnacentral:rRNA from 1 species